AUGGGCGGGCCGUCGAGCCCAUAAUUGCUUGAGCUAGUUUUAGGAAAACGCAUCGGCAAAUGAGCUGUGCUCUUCCCUGUGGGGGGGUGUCGUCCGAGAUUAGAUUCCUCCAUCCCCCAAAAAAGACCUAGACUUGUGUGUUUUGGGUGCGCAGGAAUCAAUCGGUGGUGAUUGAAAGAAUGGACGCAGGCAAGAGUGGACCAAAAGAUUCAAAGGCGGAAUCUGGGGAUAAGAAACCUCAAACAUGUCAGUCUCCAGCCAGUAAUGCUGCAGCAAGCGGGCGACUUGUAUAUGUACGCAGAAGAGUCGAGGUUGAGAGUGGCACAAAUAAGCCUAAGGAACCAACCUCAUCAUCAUCCUCUCCUGCUGCUGAUUCUGAAUCUUCCCCUCGGCCUCGUGCACCGACCACCACCCAUUGCUUAGACUGGGAAGAGCGUUACCAUCAUCUUCAAUUGCUUCUAAACAAGCUCAAUGAAUCUGAUCAGACGGAUCAUCUACAGAUGCUUUGGUCACUAUCCUCCUCCGAGCUUAGCAAGCAUGCUGUUGAGUUGGAAAAGAGGUCUAUUCAAUUCUCUCUCGAGGAAGGUACUCCUCCUCAUGCUCGCUAACGAUGGAGAUGCAGCGUGUAGCGUCUUUAAACGUGCUUGGAAGGUCUGUGAAUAGCCUAAAAUCUACAUCCAAUGAGUAAAAGAAAAAGGAAGGGAGACAUAAUAAUAAUAAAGUAAUGGGCAGUCUACUUUCAGGGAGAGUGGUGGGGAUUUUCGACCUUCUGUCAAGAUGUUUCUCUCGUAGUUGGAUGAUCUUUCCGUAUAGGCCAGGCCAGAAAACAGCUUGCUUAGAGAAAGACUGACUCUCCUACGGACCUGGUGGACCGAAGCUUUACUCACUUUUAAAACUUUAGGCCGUCUAAAACCAACCAUCAUAUCUUGUUAUUUACUGAUCAGUAUAAUGUUGCAAUUAGUUUUCAGAAGGCAAGAACACGUGCUGAUGAAAGAGGCAUUUGUUACAAACUUACAGUGGUUGAGUAGAUACGGUUAGUCAUAAUGCGAUCUUACUUAGCUCGCUUGUCAAUUUGAGCCAUGUUCAUAAAAGGAAUUCUUUUUUUUUUUUUUUUUUUCUUUUCUUUUCGUUAUCUGAAAUGUGGAACAAAUCAUAUUGAUAUUUAAUAAGAUUAAAUG